UUAAAUUGAAGAGUUUGAUCAUGGCUCAGAUUGAACGCUGGCGGCAGGCCUAACACAUGCAAGUCGAACGGUAACAGGAAGAAGCUUGCUUCUUUGCUGACGAGUGGCGGACGGGUGAGUAAUGU
rnacentral:rRNA from 3 species